UGCAGCCCCCAAGUUUGUUGGGAUUACAGGA
rnacentral:piRNA from 1 species